rnacentral:rRNA from 1 species
CGGGACCUGUGGCUCAAGACAAGAAUCCCGCAAGGGAGUUGUGGUCUAUGGACUACUCGCUUGCUUCUCUACACGCGGCCAAGUCCCUUGGAAUAGGGCGCCAUAGAGAGUGACAGCCUCGUAGCUGCCGCGCUUAUGUAGAGUUGCUAUAUGCUUGUAGCUCCGA